UCUGGCAAUGAUGACACACUUGCCCUCACUGAUAAUGGUGAUGAGGCUUUUAUGUACUCUACCUGAGCCGCA
rnacentral:snoRNA from 1 species